GUGAAUCAUCAAAUUUUUGAACGCAAAUUGCACUCUCUGGUAUUCCGGAGAGUAUGCCUGUUUGAGGGUCAGUUUAAAUAAAAAUCGGUGUGGUUGCUGCCUUUCGUGGUGACGCACCGGAUUUGGUUGGCUUUGCCUUGGGUUAGGUGCCCUAAAUUUUGCCAUGUUUUUUUUCGACCGUUUUUAAUUGAUUUUCCGUACGUUUGCGU
rnacentral:misc_RNA from 1 species